CACCCAGGCAAUGGGCAGAGACACCUUGUUGGUGGUGGUAUUCUUGUAUCAGUCAGGGGCAGGGCAGAUGGCAGGCCUUUGAUCAUCCUACCUUGAUGCCUGGUUUGGUGGCCAUAGGUGUUUUAUGCCUAGGACUCAUUA